rnacentral:tRNA from 1 species
UGUCAAGGGAUGGGAAUCGAACCCACGACCUUCCGAUUACCGGGCAGAUGCCAUGACCACUAGGCUACCUUGGAC